AGAGUUUGAUCAUGGCUCAGAAUCAACGCUGGCGGCGCGCUUAACACAUGCAAGUCGAACGAGAAAGGGGAGCAAUCCCUGAGUAAAGUGGCAGACGGGUGAGUAACACGUGGGUAAUCCACUCCUUGGUAGGGGAUAACCCUGGGAAACCGGGGCUAAUACCGCAUAAGUCCGAGAGGAGAAAGGCGAAAGUCGCCGAGGAAGGAGCCCGCGGCCGAUUAGCUAGUUGGUAGGGUAAAGGCCUACCAAGGCUUUGAUCGGUAGCCGGCCUGAGAGGGCACACGGCCACACUGGCACUGAGACACGGGCCAGACUCCUACGGGAGGCAGCAGUGGGGAAUCUUGCACAAUGGGGGAAACCCUGAUGCAGCGACGCCGCGUGAGCGAUGAAGCCCUUCGGGGUGUAAAGCUCUUUCGACGGGAACGAUAAUGACGGUACCCGGAGAAGAAGCUGCGGCUAACUACGUGCCAGCAGCCGCGGUAAUACGUAGGCAGCAAGCGUUGUUCGGAGUUACUGGGCGUAAAGAGUGUGUAGGCGGUUCGCUAAGUUUGGUGUGAAAUCUCCCGGCUUAACUGGGAGGGUGCGCCGAAUACUGGCGGGCUAGAGUGUGGGAGAGGGAAGCGGAAUUCCUGGUGUAGCGGUGAAAUGCGUAGAUAUCAGGAGGAACACCGGUGGUGUAGACGGCUUCCUGGACCACAACUGACGCUGAGACACGAAAGCGUGGGGAGCAAACAGGAUUAGAUACCCUGGUAGUCCACGCCCUAAACGAUGCGGACUUGGUGUGGGCAGUUCAGUCUGUCCGUGCCGGAGCUAACGCGUUAAGUCCGCCGCCUGGGGAGUACGGUCGCAAGGCUGAAACUUAAAGGAAUUGACGG
rnacentral:rRNA from 1 species